CCUACGGGUGGCUGCAGUGAGGAAUAUUGGUCAAUGGCCGCGAGGCUGAACCAGCCAAGUCGCGUGAGGGAAGACGGCCCUACGGGUUGUAAACCUCUUUUGUCGGGGAGCAAAGCGAGUCACGUGUGACUCAUUGAGAGUAUCCGAAGAAAAAGCAUCGGCUAACUCCGUGCCAGCAGCCGCGGUAAUACGGAGGAUGCGAGCGUUAUCCGGAUUUAUUGGGUUUAAAGGGUGCGCAGGCGGAGGUGCAAGUCAGCGGUAAAAUUGCGGGGCUCAACCCCGUACUGCCGUUGAAACUGCAGCCCUUGAGUGCGCGAGAAGUAUGCGGAAUGCGUGGUGUAGCGGUGAAAUGCAUAGAUAUCACGCAGAACUCCGAUUGCGAAGGCAGCAUACCGGCGCGCAACUGACGCUGAGGCACGAAAGCGUGGGUAUCGAACAGGAUUAGAUACCCCAGUAGUC
rnacentral:rRNA from 1 species